AGUGAACGCUGGCGGUAGGCCUAACACAUGCAAGUCGAACGGCAGCACAGUAAGAGCUUGCUCUUACGGGUGGCGAGUGGCGGACGGGUGAGGAAUACAUCGGAAUCUACUUUUUCGUGGGGGAUAACGUAGGGAAACUUACGCUAAUACCGCAUACGACCUACGGGUGAAAGCAGGGGAUCUUCGGACCUUGCGCGAUUGAAUGAGCCGAUGUCGGAUUAGCUAGUUGGCGGGGUAAAGGCCCACCAAGGCGACGAUCCGUAGCUGGGGUGAGAGGAUGAUGAGCCACACUGGAACUGAGACACGGUCCAGACUCCUACGGGAGGCAGCAGUGGGGAAGAUUGGACAAUGGGCGCAAGCCUGAUCCAGCCAUACCGCGUGGGUGAAGAAGGCCUUCGGGUGGUAAAGCCCUUUUGUUGGGAAAGAAAAGCAGCAGGUUAAUACCCCGCUGUUCUGACGGUACCCAAAGAAUAAGCACCGGCUAACUUCGUG
rnacentral:rRNA from 1 species